GGAGAUACUUAGGCUCCCCAGAGAAAUUAGUCACAAGUCUUAUCCCUUCAUCUCCAUUUACAGCCAUUUAUUUGGGAGCAACAUACUUUAAAUGAGUGAUAAACAAAAUGUCUCCCCACAGCCCCCACCCCAGCAUGUGUUCUGAAGUUCACAGGAAGGCUUCUCCUCAUUUGCUUUGGGGCCCGCAGGCUGCCUGCUAACAGCUGGGUCUUCCCAUGAACAAAUUAGACAGUUAAUGUUCCAGGAUGAAGAGGGCUUCGGGGAACAGAAUCUGCCGUUUAUUUGACUUGCUUCAUUAGACACAGUGCCAUCAUACCAAAAUUAGAAAAAAGAAGGAACUCAGCGGAAAUCAGCUACACAAGAAGAACCUCUCAGUUCUGAGAAUUCACAUUAACCAGUGAUUAAGAAAUAUUAAAAAGGGCUGAUAGUCCACUACGUUAUCAAGUUCAAAGCCUAAGAAAUAUUGAACAUUUCCACACAUGAAUGUGGGUACUAUGUUUAAUUUGAGAAUGGCCAACUGUCCUCGAAGUCUCAAUCUCUUUGGAGCCUACCAGCUCCGAGAGAAGUUUGAGGAUGCUGCAAAACCCUCCCCUGCAAAUCCAUCUACUCCUCCCACUUCUAUCCUAAUGGGUAUAGUUCUUGGCUGUGCUGAGGAUCUGUAAGGCACCAGAUGUGAAAGUAAGGAAGAAAGAUGGAUGUGGAAGAAAGUCACUGCCCAGAGAAUAAGGAGACCUGGAUUCUAAUCUCAGCUCUGCCAUUAACUAGCUUCUAUACUUUAUCCAAGAAAGAAUAAAUCAUUUCCAAAUAUUUUCAAAGAUGAAACUAUGGCUCAAAAGGGAAUAAGAGAUCAAGGCAAGCAUGGACAUCUUGUACGUGGAAGUGCAGACCAGAACUUGUAUCACAGCCAGUCAUAUCUGGUGCUUUCCAUGCUACUUUUACAUACAUGUAUCCUUAAAUUUGAUCCUCUUCUAGUUUAGUCUAAACUCUUUACUUUGUAACUUCCAAACCUAAAAGGUGCAGCAGACAUUGACAAUC
rnacentral:lncRNA from 1 species